AAGGAUCAUUAUUGAAUUAUGUUUUCUAGAUGGGUUGUAGCUGGCUCUUCGGAGCAUGUGCACGCCUGUCUGGACUUCAUUUUCAUCCACCUGUGCACCUUUUGUAGUCUUUUUCAGGUAUUGAAGGAAGUGGUCAGCCUAUCAGCUCUUUGCUGGAUGUAAGGACUUGCAGUGUGAAAACAGUGCUGUCCUUUACCUUGACCAUGGACUCUUUUUCCUGUCAGAGUCUAUGUUAUUCAUUAUACUCUUAGAAUGUCAUUGAAUGUCUUUACAUGGGCUAUGCCUAUGAAAAUUAUUAUACAACUUUCAGCAACGGAUCUCUUGGCUCUC
rnacentral:misc_RNA from 1 species